rnacentral:lncRNA from 1 species
CAAAACCCUAGAUGAAACCCCUUAGGCCGUUUCCCUCUGAAAAACCCGUCGCCCUGUGUUCGCUUCGCUUCCGCAGUUAUCAGGUGCGCUCAGUUCGUUCGGCUUCAAUAAUGGGUCGCAAACUCAAAGACCUCUCCAAUCUCAGCGAACCAGAAGCUCAGGAAACCCAAAACCUUCGCGAAACCAAAGCUGAGAGGAAGAAGAAGAAGCAGAAAAACAAAGACCAAGAAGAACAAGGCCAACUAACCCAACUCAGUCCCAAGAGAAAGCUGGAAGAAAUUGCCCCUCAAGAAGAUAACUCAGAUUCUAAUAAGAAGAAGAACAAGAAGCACAAGAAAUCCAAAGAUAAGGAGCAAGAAACAGAAAACAGUGUGAAGGAGCCACAGAGAAAUGGGGAUGCCGACGAAGGUGAAUCUAGAGAACAGGUUGUUGUGGUUACUGGUAAAGAUGCGAAUGAAGCCAAAUACAAGUCAUUGAAUUCCUUUGCGGAAGCGAAGCUUCCGAGUGAGGUUUUGCGGUGCUGUGAGAAUUUCAAGAGUCCUUCUCCGAUUCAAUCCCGGGCAUGGCCAUUCUUAUUGGACGGCCGCGAUUUUAUUGGGAUUGCGAAAACGGGGUCAGGUUCGUAUUGUGGUUUGGAUUUUGGAAGUUGAAAUUUAGGUUGUGUUGUGAGCUGUUUGUCUGGUCGAGCUAAUUCUGUGUUUUUUGUGUGCAGGUAAGACUUUGGCAUUUGGGGUACCAGCUAUUAUGCACGUUUUAAAUAAGAGGAAGGGUAAGUUUUCGAAGGGCCGAACUCCUCUUUGCCUUGCACUUGCACCUACAAGGGAGUUAGCUCAACAAGUACGUGCAUAUUAACCCAAGAUGCAUUAUGUGAACUAGUGUUUGGUUCUCAUUUUUAUUUUCAGUAUGGAUCAUAGAAUUAAAAUUAUAUGCUAUGCGGUGAGUUGUGUCUCUGAGGUGGCGUUGAGUAUUUCAGUGAUUCAAUUCACCUCUUGUAGCAUAGGGUUCCAAGAUUUCGUUGUUUCCAGAAGGUUUAAAUUCUCUAAGACCCUAAAUCCUUGAAAAUUGAGUAAAGCCAGUCGGCAUUUAUAAUCAUGUGCCAUAGAUAUAUGGUGAUGGGCUGUGAUGCUCAGGUUUCUUAUGUAAUGUUGAUGGGAUGUUUUGCAGUUAUACUUGACCUAAAGGAAAUCUAGAAAAUAAGAAGGUUGGAAAUCAGAGAUAUCAUUAUGCGGUAAAUUCAAUUAAAAAGAUUGUAUAGUAUGUGACAAUACAUGAUCCAGACAAUCUUCUCAAAAAUUUUACUCUUAUCCGAGAAAAUGAAAUGGGGUAUCACUCACAUACGUAGUGAGUAGAGAUGGUCAUAUAUGCCACUAUAAUAAUACAUAGAUCAAUUUUGAACAGAGAUACUGCAAAUAGCACAUUUACUUACCAGAAAACUGAGAGAAGAUGAUAACCUUCUUUUACAUUGUUGCUUAUUAAUGACCAAUAAGAAUGUUAGUGCUACUCUUAUGUUCACAUUGAUAGGUCAAACCUGGAAAGAAAAAAAUGGGAGCUUGUAGUAGUGGCAUAAACAAGUCUAAGGGCUUAAAAAUGUAGUCUUGUGCAAAUUAAUUUGGAAGUGACAGUUCACUUAAACAGGGAAGCAUAUGAUCCAUGGACAUUGACACAAAUGUUUUCUCCCAUGACAGACAUGAGGUGUAUUUAUUGAUUUACAUGGACUUCUAUCUAGUUUAUUGGAAAAAAAAAAAAAAAAAACCAUAUAUUUGCACAAAUAAUGAGCUUGGUAUUCAUGCCUACAUUUCUUUACAAAAAUGUAGAAGUCAAUUAUAGUUAUGCACUAUUUUGUCAAUGAUGGUGAGUUACUUUUAGCUCUUGGGGUUAGCCCAAGUGGUGAGGGUGUGUGGGGAACGGGUUUGGAUUAGGAUAGGUCAAGGGUUCCGUUGCUCCCAAUGUAAAAAAAAGAAGGGGAAUUGUUUUUAAGCAUACAAAGGAUUCUUAAUAUGGGUGGUGUGUCUAUGAAUAAUAGAGUGAAAACAAUUUGUGGAUUUUGCUACUAGGUUGGAACUUGGUCAUACUGGUUUUCUUGUUGUUCUUGCACAUAUUCCUUUUUUAGCUGCUGCUUUGUCAUGUGUUUUGUUAAUUGUAUUAAUUAAAGGUUAGUUCUUGAAAAGGGGGACUGACCAUUUGUUUUAUCUCUGGUUGCAGAUUUCGGAUGUUCUGUUUGAGGCUGGGAAACCUUGUGGUGUGAUAUCAGUUUGUUUGUAUGGCGGAGCAUCUAAAGGACCUCAAAUAUCUGCUCUGAAGUCUGGUGUUGUAAGAUACUCCAUUUGUUUGAUUAUAUGGCACAAAUUUGAUUUCAUUUGAUUUUUCAUGAAAUUCUUCCUUCCCUUUCAUUUAGACUUCACACUUGUUCACAGUUGACACUAUGUGCAAUUGAAUAAGAAAAUAUCAGAAUCAACCUCAAUUUCUAAACUGGAUCAGUAAUCUUGUGACUUGGAAACCCGUCAUCAUGAUUGGGUUGGCUCUCUGGAUUAAAUUUUAAUGCUAACUUGUCCUUUUUUGCAUAGACAUUAUGAGGUUAAUUUCUCCAUUAUGAUGUAUGGAAUUUUUUAUAUUUUUGAUUGAAAGUUUUGCCUGUAGUUAAUUGUGGUAAAAUGAUGGAGGAUUCUAUUAUGUGAAGUUGAUCCUGCACUUGAUGCACUCAACAGUUUCCCUCUUUUGCUUUCCCUUUUUUGCGGGUCAUGUAACAACCACGGUAUUGAAUAUUAAUGUUAACAAAAAUAUGGAGGGGCUGAAGAUACUGAAGUGUAGAUGGUAAUAUUGAGAAAACAUAAUAUUCAGAGAAAUUACAGGGCAUUUCUGGUGAAAAGUACCAAAAUGAAAUAUUGGAAAAUUGUUGUAUCAAAUAUUGGUACUCAUUAAAACUUAAAUGUCAAAGAAACACAGUGGGUUGGCAGGAUGCAACUGACUGCAUCCAAGCUAUUCAAAAAAGAUCUAAGGAAUAAGCAACAAGUUCUCAUUUGAGAAUCUUAAUUGUUUGCCUAUAUAUGUGUACUAUUUAGAUUAUAUUCUCUAGCACUUUGGUACUGCAUUGCAUGUUAGUUAUAGAGUUUGUGAAGUUUAUUUUUCAAAUAGAAAUAUCAGUGGGAGGGAAUGAGAGGAAGGAGACAGAAGUUUUUUAUUUGAUCCGAACGGAGUAGGUUAUUUUGUCAAAAUGGCUUGGUUAUAUUUAAUAAGAGUGUUUUCAUUCUGGCAAUUAACAAAUUCCUACUUUUGUGUAGUAUAUAUUUUUUUAUCCAUCUGUUCUGCAUUUUUAUGUCUUUGUAUUCUGUAGAGCUUAUGUGUUUGCAUUGAUUAUGUGGUUCAUCUUCUUAUGAUUGGUUUCCGUACACUCUUCUGUGCUCUCAGGACAUCGUUAUUGGAACUCCUGGUCGUCUCAAGGAUCUCAUUGAAAUGGGUGUGUGUUCCCUGAAGGAAGUAUCUUUUACGGUAAGUAACAUUGCCCAAAGAAACCUGUUUCCCAAUUACUGUGAUCAACUAGGAUCUGCUUUUACUUGAUUCAUUCAUAUUUCUGCUCCUUUUCUUAUGGUGAUUAAUGUUGCUGGAUUGUCGUGAACUAGAAUUUGAGUUUAACAAUUGCAAAUCAGUCUGGAAGUGAAGCAAUUUGAAAAUCAUGCUUUCCAGUGUCCACUAUAAAGAUUUAUUUAAACUAUCUUGGAAUAAUGGCAACGUCUUUUGGUAUGGAAGAUCUGGAGAUGAUCAUGGUAUAAGCUGAUUGUCCCCAAAUGUACCAUAUUAGAAUUCAGAGCUAACUGAUGAUUUCUUUAUAUUAAUAAGAAUGUUUUCUAUAUAUAUGGAUGGCCGGCCCUAUAAUAUUUUCAAUCUACUUGCAAUAUCAGGAACGAAGUGACUAUCUGCUAAUGCACUUGAGUUAGAUUAGAAGUGUAGUGAAAAAGCCAGUCCUGAAUUGACUGCUUGCUAAUGUACUAAUGCACUCUAUUUUAAAAGUUUAGUGAGAAAGCCAUGACAUAGUAAAAGUGGUUACUUAAUAUGACCGUCAACCUGACUUGGUGAAACCAAGCCCCUCUUAGUGUAGUGAGUCUUGACGGAUUUCAGAGAACUUAUUCUCAGUUUUCCUAUCAAAUGCAUCUUGACAUCCUGAAAUGCUCCACUUAUGGCUGCACUCUUGAGGCUUUGAUAUCUCAUUUGGGUUUGUACAAUUGUUUUGCACCAUUCUAAAAAUCUGAUAACACCUACAUUUGAUUUGAUUUAGUUUUAUGAUGCUAAUAGACACUAGUACAUUGUCAUUUUACUUGCAGUUAUUUUUUAAAUCCGUUUUUGUAUUGAUUAAAUUUCAUUGCCUUUGGAUGUGAAUUUUUAUUAUUUUUCUAUAUAUGGAAUAUUAUAGUAGCUUUAUAGAUCUCAGAGAAGUGAGAUGGGCAGUAAUUUUCUGUAGGUCCUUGAUGAAGCAGAUCGAAUGCUUGACAUGGGAUUUGAACCAGAAGUUCGCUUUAUAUUGGGCCAGACAUGCUUGGGUAUGUGAUAUAGUAUUCAUAGUUUUCUAUUUAUCCAUCUUUCUUUAUGUGUUAUAAAUACAGUUCUUGUCUAGACAGGAUAUGGUUGAUCACCAUUUAGAGCUUAGACUUUUGGUUUCUAGUCUCGGAUUGGUUAAUCGUUUCAGUUUUGCAUUUUAAGAAACCUAAAUUUGAAGCUCUAAAAGGCCUAAUCAACCCUGCAAUUAAUGGGAUCAAAGUUGAAUAAAAUUGAGCAUAAGAGAUUUUGUCAACACGUCUACCCUAUAAGAAAGAAUGGACAUCCUUCACAGAGAAUCUCAACUCCUAUAUAUAAUAAAUACAUAAAUAUAAUAUAUGGAUAGUUCUCUUCUUAAUCCCUCAUGAGAACCAAAAGGGAUCGCAUAGUAAUGGAUACCCUGCUAUGUGGUCCAGUGACUUGAACCAUCUAAAUUUUAGAUCCCAUAUAAGUAUCAUAUCUGCGAAUAAUCAUGAAAUUGAGGAAGUGUUUGACCAUUAUGAUUAUCGUCAUGGACAUUGUUGUUAUUAUUAUUUUUAUUAUUUCUUUUGUUAAUUAUAAUCCUUGAAUGGUGUCUGUAAGAAUAGAUCAUUGAAUCGUGUUGAGGUUGGACUCACAUGCAAUACCUCUUGUUUUGUUUUUCUUUUUCAAAAGGGAUCCAUCAUCCCUCUUAAUAUGUAUUUUGUAUAUAGGAAUGUUCAAAUACCAAUUUAUUAGUGAGUUGGGCAUUAAUCACUACGUAUCAUUUUUUUAGUUCUCCUUAAAUGAUCAUCUCUGCAAAAAAAAAAAAAAAAAAAAAAAAAAAAAAAACAGCCGAUUUGGAAAAGCAUUAAUCAUCUGACUAUGAUAAAAUAAAUUUACGAAACAGUAAUUUGGACGAAACAAUGAAAGGAUUGUGAUGCUGAUCAAAUGGCUAAAUGAUUUUUCAAUUUUUUUUGAUUCUUUUGCAAGAAUGAUCCUUAAGGGAACCUGAAAAAUGGACGGUUCAGAUUUUGUGAUCACAUCAUGUGGUAGACCCAGAAAGUUGUUACUGCCUUCGCAUUUGUUGUCUUCCUAACCAAGCUCCACAAUUUAGCUCCCACUUAGUAAUAGAGAUUCUUUUGACCUGUUUAGAUGGAAUUCUCAGGCCGACAAAAUGGACUCUUAGAAUUGAAACAUUUGGAUGUACUGUCUGCAAAUUUGUUUUCCAAUCUAUCUUGAUUUUGGUAACGUUUUGGUUCAAAGGACAUCAUGCUGUGUUCAAGUCCUCUAGUUUUGAUAAAGGACUCUAAUGAAGUCUAAAAGAUUUCAAUUACUUGUUUAAAUAACUUAUGAACGGGUACUCCAUAGUCGUGUGGAGAAAUUAUGUGAGGAAUUAUAAGAACUUCAGUAUAUGUUACUUAAUUGUUUAUUCUAUUUUUCGGAGUAACCACUCACCUAUAUUUAGGCAUAUGUACAUAUCUGGUAACGUGUACAGAUUUAGCAGUGUUGAUUAUCAUUAUUUUAUAUGAAAACUGUUUUUUUUGUUUUUUUAAAGAAAAUCAUAUAAAUGAAAUUGAUGUUAAAUUAUGAGGGGCCUGGAGGCAAUUCAGUUACAAGAGACCUACGAAAUUGGCUUUUGUAGAUGUUCUCAAGCCGUAGAUAAUCAGGCAAAAGGUGUUCUAUAGUCGAUAGUAUAGAAAUCUGAGAUGAUACUUACCUAAAUAUGAAAUAAGAAGCAAUGCCUAUUUUCACCAGACUGUUCUCCAGACGUGUCAUGUAGAGUACCAUGAGAAAUUUGAGUUUGUGACAUGAUUUUAUUGGAAAAGAAGGCUAUUAAGACUUUACACCACAAGUUAGGUUGUAUGUAUUUAAGUUUGCUCCCAAGUUUUGGAUGAUGUAGGGUCUCUCCAACUUAUACCUUAUAUUUCAAUAUGUCUGGAUUUUUCUAACUGGCUGGGUAUGUUUCGUAGUCUAUUUUCAUUCUGGUGAUGAUGAUAUACAUCUGUUGACUGUGUGCAGAACGCCAGAUGGUAAUGUUCAGUGCUACGUGGCCUCCUUCAGUUCAUCAAUUAGCUCAGGAGUUCAUGGAUCCCAAUCCUGUUAAGGUGCGAACUCUCAAUUUUCUUGACCUUUAAAUAAUUUCCUAUCCACCUUUGGAAAGUAAUAAACAUUUGCUUCAGGUAGUUGUUGGUUCAGAGGAUUUAGCUGCCAAUCAUGAUGUCAUGCAGAUAGUUGAGGUACAAAUUAUCAACACUUGUGAAGCCUAUGUGACCAUCAAAUAUUUAUUUUAUUAAUUAAAUAUAUGUGUACUGCAAUGACACCUUCCCUUUCACGCUCAUAGGUCUUGGAUGACCGUUCACGUGAUGGACGUUUGGUUACUUUGCUAGAAAAAUACCACAAAUCCCAAGAGUAAGUGUUGGUACAUUAUCCCCCGGUAUUAUAUAUGUAAGUUGUACCUUAGUCAAUACCUGGCGGAUUUUUUCAGACCUUGUGUUGUGUGUGUGUGUGUGUUUUGUGUCACGGAAUCCACUUGCUUUACCUGUCUGUAUAUAUCACAAGAAUGGAGCUUCUUCAAUUCUUAGUUACCUUCCUGAUAAUGUAUUUUGAUUUCCUGUGUUGCUAUCCUGCUAAUACCGAUGUUACACUGCUGACCAGGAACCGAGUUUUGGUUUUUGUCUUGUACAAAAUGGAAGCCACUCGUGUUGAAAAUAUGCUGACAAAAGGGUAAACUCCUUGAUACAUGGUGAUAAGGCAGGUAGUUGUUGCCGUUUAUACUGAAGAUAUUUGAGGAAAGCUACUGAUGGUUUUUAUUGCCGUUUAUAGGGGUUGGAAGGUUGUUUCUAUACAUGGUGAUAAGGCACAAACCGAGCGUACUAAGGCUCUAUCUCUAUUCAAGAAAGGAAGCUGUCCCUUGAUGGUAUGUUGUUCUAGAUAAGAGAUCUAUUUACAUGCGUAAUUGCAGUUUAGUGAAAACACAAUGACCUCCCUCUGGGUGCAUCAAACAAAGUACAUUGCUUAAAAUUGAAACUGGAGUAAAUUUACAUGCCUAAUUGCAGUUUAGUGAAAACACAAUGACCUCCUUUGGGGCACAUAAAACAAAAUACAGUGCUUACCUAAUUGAUGAUACUUAUCAGUCUCCUAAGCAGGGAUCCCUCUCUUUAAGAUAAACAGUCCACAUUAUUAGGGCCUGCUCUGUAAUGUGAUCCAAUGAUAUGAACUGUUUAACUAUUAAAUUAUCAUCUUGAAUAUAGGUCUAAGAAAUGGGGACAGUUUACAUCAUGGGAUCACAUUGGGUGUGAGUUCCACAUGCAUCAUUUUCUUUUCUUAAAAUGAGGGAUCUUCUGUAGCAGGGACUCCUAAUUUGUAUCCAAACUUUUUGAACUCAGUUAGAAAAUCGGAAAUACGGUAAAUUGAAAGAAUAAAUUUUUACUAGAACGAAACUGGGAAGAUAAUGAUGAUGACAAGGACCCCCAAAUAGCUUGGACAAGCAAGGUGAGUAUGUUUACCAAAACAAGGGAAUGUUUUUAUAUUGUCGUGGAAGUCCAGGGAGGUUUGUACAAUCCACUCAACUAUUCGUAUGGUUUUCUUUUAGAAGAUUUAAAAUGUAACUUGUGAUGGGGCAACUUGUGGUUAGCACACACUUCUAUUUGGAAGGACCUGUCUGAUAGUGUUUGAAGAGAUAUUUCAAAAUUCUUCUAGCUAUAUCUGUGAACUGUGCUAAAAUGUUGUGCAUUUGAUCUGAAACAUAUUUCCAGAUAGCUACUGAUGUGGCUGCUCGCGGAUUGGAUAUUCCAGAUGUCGAAGUAGUGAUUAACUAUAGUUUUCCCCUAACUACCGAGGAUUAUGUCCACCGAAUUGGACGGACUGGACGGGCUGGUAAGAAGGGUGUUGCUCAUACUUUCUUCACACAUCACAACAAGGUAACACUAAAUAUAUUAAAUCUAUAUUUUACAAGUUCUGUAGAACUUUUAUAUGAGAAAAAUUCUAAGUCCAACUACUAUCUAUUAUGUGACUAUUGCAGGCACUUGCUGGGGAGCUGGUCAAUGUUCUCAGAGAAGCCAAGCAAAAUGUGCCAGAAGCCUUAUUGAAAUUUGGCACUCAUGUUAAGAAAAAGGCAUGCAUUUGGUUAUCUUUCAUCCUCUUCCCUGCUGCAUAAUUCACAUUCAUGUUCCCAUUGUAUGUGUUCUUUUAUUAGUCUGCUUCCAUGACUGGCAUUUUGACAAUCUUUUUGGUUUUCUGGUUUUCUUCUUUCUUUGGGGUAUUGAAAUGCAGGAGUCCAAACUUUAUGGGGCUCACUUCAGAGAAAUUCCUGUUGAUGCUCCAAAGUCCAAAAAAAUCACAUUUGACAACUCUGAUGACGAAAAUUAAUUCGCUUUCGGAUAUGAACCCAUUUUUUCACUCCUGUGGUAAGACAUAAAGUUGGUCAUGGGAUCUUGGCUGCAGGGUUAAUGUGCAUUGAUCUCAUUGGGGACAAGCUUUUUAUUUCCUUUAUAUUGUUCUUGCCACAUUCUAUAUAAUAUAUGAAUAAAUUUUGUUCUUUUUACCAUUUCUUUUCUUCGCUUUUUGAUUUUAUUCCCUAAAAUUGUAAUUCAUGGAUUCUCAAUGAAUAUUUAUUUUUACAACUUUGUGUAAUACCUUGAAACUUGUAGGUUGAAAGCUUCACCUGGAAAGCGUUCUCAAACAUUUACUCG